UUGCAUGAAAUCUGAAUCUAUUGACAAUGUAAGUUCCAUAUCUAUGAACUAUUUUGAACGGUCCAACAGCCAAGCUUAGAAGAUCUUCACUUGCUUUGCCUUUAGCUUUAAGCUUUGAAACCUAUUUAAGAUUAAUAAAUUAAGCCAUUAUUAGCAUAAAUAAAAGUAACUUAAAGUAUUUACCUAUAUUAUAUGAUACCUACACGUUUAUAAAACCAAUCUAGAAAUUCUUUGUGAUGUCUAGCCAGGACAUUUCUUGAGCUCGCCUCUUCCAAUUCUUUUUUAUGCUCCCUAUGAAUGACAUAAUUAAUCAAUAAUAAAGAUGAUUGAAGUAGAAACAA
rnacentral:lncRNA from 1 species